rnacentral:rRNA from 1 species
GUGUCAGCCGCCGCGGUAAUACGUAGGGUGCAAGCGUUAAUCGGAAUUACUGGGCGUAAAGCGUGCGCAGGCGGUUAUACAAGACAGGCGUGAAAUCCCCGGGCUUAACCUGGGAAUUGCGUCUGUGACUGUAUGGCUAGAGUGUGUCAGAGGGGGGUAGAAUUCCACGUGUAGCAGUGAAAUGCGUAGAUAUGUGGAGGAAUACCAAUGGCGAAGGCAGCCCCCUGGGAUAACACUGACGCUCAUGCACGAAAGCGUGGGGAGCAAACAGGAUUAGAUACCCUGGUAGUCCACGCCCUAAACGAUGCUGACUAGUUGUUCGGGAUUUUAUCCUGAGUAACGUAGCUAACGCGUGAAGUCAGCCGCCUGGGGAGUACGGUCGCAAGAUUAAAACUUAAAUGAAUUGACGGGG